rnacentral:lncRNA from 10 species
GAGUGAUAAAAGUUACUAUUUAAUAUGAAAUGAUCCAGAAUGUCUUCUCUGAGUAGAUAACAUUUCAGCACAGACUUAAAUGAAGCAGAGGAAAAAGAUAUGCAGCUAUUUGGGAAAGAAUUCUAGAUAGAGGGACUAACAACUUCAUUUUCACUUGGCAUUGCGUUGAAUUGUUUACAAGAUACAACAGCCAACAGCCUUUCAAUUUAUAACCCAGUUUCACAUAGUCUUACUCCUUAAUCUUGUGCUUGUUCUUCACCGAAAUUAGAAAGCAAAGUAGCAAAGUUUAUUAACGAAUAUGAAACAAGGGAUGGCCAAUACAAUAUGAUAUUUUUUUUUUUUUCUUUUUUUGAGACGGAGUCUCACUGUGUCGCCCAGGCUGUAGCACAUCUAGAAAACAGAAUGAGACUAUCUCAAAAAAUAAAUAAAAAGUGGUUACAAAACAAUUGGGACUAGUAAGUGAGCAGUAACCACAUAAAUAUGCCAAAAUAAAUAGCUAUCUUCUCCUCAAGUUAAAAGCUGCCAUGGUGUGAAUUCAUUUCCACUUUUUCAAAGCCAUCACCUUUUCCAGGCUUUGAAAAGCUAACCUCGGGACUACUUGCUGAGGUUAAAUCUGUCCCAAAAAAGUACCCCAAGUCCAUGAAGUCUUGCUUAUGUUGUCUUAAAUUCCAGCCCCCUUAAUUGAACACCCUUAAAAUCCAAUCCUAAGUAUACUUCUCUGGCUCCUGAUAGUCAUGGUAACUUAUUUCAAUUCCUUCGGUGUGUAAUCUUUCCUUUCUUAUCAGGGCCAGCAGUUCCUAGGCAGAUUAUGCUGAGAUGUUAACUCCAGUUACCAUGGCUUGGCAGCCAGGAGAAAAACUGAGAACAAUUAUGGAAGAGGUCUUUCUGUAAUGAGGGAAGUGCUUGCUCUUACUAGGAAGUAUGAGCCAGUUCUGUAAGCUCUUGAGUGUCCAGAGGUAUCUACAGAGCCAAAAUCCUCAGGGGCACCCAUUCCAUGUUUCAAAGCUUCAGGCUGGUUUCCCCAACCAGCGCCCUGACUACAUACUGGAUCUCCCUAGGCUGAGCAUUCAAAUAUCUUUAGAGCUCUGUGACCAUCCAAUCCCAUUUCUGCUCUUCCACUGCAGGAAAUAAAAGUUUGUUAAGCUCCAGAGAAGCCCCCGGCUCCCACACUUAGCCUUUAACUGUUUAAGUGCUCUCGGUUUCUCAUUAUCCAUCUGCAAGGCAUUACUUGUCUUAGUAACAGUUGGCCAGCUCUGCUUUCUUUGUAGGCAUCGUAUUCCCCAUAUCUUUUAAAUGCCUAAAUUGCACGAGCAAGAGGAUUUCCCUUCUCUGGGAUGUUUUCCUAGGUCACUGCUGGCUAAAUCAGGACUCAGAUGGCUGCUUUGUGCCAGGGACCAAGUAAGCCAUUGCCCAAAACCCAUCUUACUAUCUGUUUUCUUGCACCACUUGGUAAACCACCUGUCUGUUCUGGUCCUCAGAGAAGCAGAUGCCAAGAAGGGAUUAGACAUGCAAGAUAUUUAUUGGGGGAAAUGUUUGUGAAGGAUAAAGUGGGAAGGCUCAGGAAUUGGCAGAGAGACUUCAGACUGUGGUGCAGGUCUGACUUCUGUAAAAAGAAGAGAAGGAAAUAUUGGGUAGAAAGAGCCUCGACUACACUGUAGUUCUAAGAUAGUCUCAUCCAGGCUGAUGAGAAGUUCCCCAAGCCAAAGUUGCCCGUUAGAGGAGUUCUGCACUGGGCAAGAAAGAACAAGUUUAGUACUCCUGCUGUGCUCAGCCACUAGCUGGGGGCGACUCCAGAGAUAUGUGGCAUUGACAUGAAUGCAUGGUAGUUCCAAAGGGGUGGCAGCUGGCUGUCAGUCACUUGUAGUCCCCAGAGUAGGUUCUCUUGAAGAUCUGAGUGGAAACUUCUAUGGCCACAGUCAAAAUGCAAUCCAGGGCCAGGUGCAGUGGUUCAUACCUAUAAUCCCAACACUUUAAGAGGCUGAGAUGGGAGGAUUGCUUGAGCCGGUAAGUUUGAGACCAGUCUGGGCAAGAUAGCCAGACCCUGUCUCAAAAGUAACCCCAUAAUCAUUCCAAAACUGUAGCAAUUAAAACUCUGUCAUACUAGAAUUGACCAACUACAGCAAUUGAAACAGUAGUGAAUUCAGACUCAAACUCAGAUAUAUGUUAUGUAUGUAUAUGUAUAUGCAUGUAAAUUUAGUAAAUAAUAUGAUAAGAUAGCAUUUUCAAUUUGUUUUUUCUAUACAUGAUGUUGAGACAACUGGAUGGAUAUCCAUUUGGAGGAAAAGUUUUAAAUUAGCAUCCUACUUCAUAUAUAUUUUAAAAAUUCCAACUUGAUUAAAGAACUAAACAUUUAAAAACCAUGAAAAUAUAUUAGAACUCCAGAAUA